UACGAGAGGCCCAAACAUUAUUCGGAAUUACUGGGCUUAAAGAGUUCGUAGGCGGCAUGGAAAGUAGGGUGUGAAAUCCCUCGGCUCAACCGAGGAAUUGCGCUCUAAACUGCCGUGCUAGAGGAAGCUAGAGGUGAGCGGAACUGAUGGUGGAGCGGUGAAAAGCGUUGAUAUCAUCAGGAACACCGGAGGCGAAGGCGGCUCACUGGGGCUUUUCUGACGCUGAGGAACGAAAGCCAGGGUAGCGAACGGG
rnacentral:rRNA from 1 species